rnacentral:rRNA from 1 species
UUUGUCGAAAGACGAGAGUGCUUUAUUGAACUUGGUGACAGGUGAUGCAUGGCCGUCGUCAGCUCGUGUCGUGAGAUGUUUGGUUAAGUCCAUCAACGAGCGCAACCCUUGUGAUUAGUUGUAUUUUUCUAAUCAGACUGCCCCGGCAACGGGGAGGAAGGAGGGGAUGAUGUCAGGUCAGUAUUUCCCUUACGCCCUGGGCUAGAAACGUAAUACAAUGGCCAGUACAAUGCGCAGCGAAGCCGCGAGGUGAAGCAAAUCGCAUCAAAACUGGUCCCAGUUCGGAUUGGAGGCUGGAACUCGCCUCCAUGAAGUUGGAAUCGCUAGUAAUCGCAGAUCAGCAAGCUGCGGUGAAUACGUUCCCGGGUCUUGUACACACCGACUUGUACACACCGA